AGUGAACGCUGGCGGUAGGCCUAACACAUGCAAGUCGAACGGCAGCACAGUAAGAGCUUGCUCUUACGGGUGGCGAGUGGCGGACGGGUGAGGAAUACAUCGGCAUCUACUUUUUCGUGGGGGAUAACGUAGGGAAACUUACGCUAAUACCGCAUACGACCUACGGGUGAAAGCAGGAGAUCUUCGGACCUUGCGCGAUUGAAUGAGCCGAUGUCGGAUUAGCUAGUUGGCGGGGUAAAGGCCCACCAAGGCGACGAUACGUAGCUGGUCUGAGAGGAUGAUCAGCCACACUGGAACUGAGACACGGUCCAGACUCCUACGGGAGGCAGCAGUGGGGAAUAUUGGACAAUGGGCGCAAGCCUGAUCCAGCCAUACCGCGUGGGUGAAGAAGGCCUUCGGGUUGUAAAGCCCUUUUGUUGGGAAAGAAAAGCAGCAGGUUAAUACCCCGCUGUUCUGACGGUACCCAAAGAAUAAGCACCGGCUAACUUCGUG
rnacentral:rRNA from 1 species